AGAGAAGUUUCAUACCUGUUAGAUCUCCUGCUGCCAGGAACUAACCUCCUGGGAGACAGGUCUUAUCGUCAUCCAGGCAUAUAGGAGGGUGUUGGGAAAACACUUGUAGUGGAUGCUGGAUUGUGCCAUUCAGAGCCAGCUCCCUUUGCUAUUGAAGAACUUAUUUCCCUACAUGUCAGGACUUCUGCUGGCUGAUGGCCCCCAGCUGUGAGCUCUUUCAGGCAUCACCUUUGGCUGCAAAAGGCUCCCUCUCCUGAAGUUACUACCUGCAUCCCUGGAGGCAGACUUCAUCUCAUGUCUUCAUCCAAAGUUUGAACAAAUUGGCUAAGAAGGUGCUAGACAUGUAAAGGGACUAUUUUUUUUCUUAAUUCAAAUGUAGGAGGAGUAUGGAUCUCCAGGAACCAGAAGAGCUGCAUACAUAUGCCCAACAAUUCAGCGACAGCACCAUCAGCCCAGAUGGGGGUUGUGAGCAAAGUCCGAGAUGGUCAGAAGGAAACGAGAACCUGGGAGGUGGCGAGUGUCCACUGCUCUAGUCUCAGGACAGCCUGCUCUGUUAAAGCACCUGGUCCUUCUUCCUGAAGACUUCAGUCCCACCUUGCAUUAUGUUUUGUUCUGUGUAUGUGCGUGUCUAUCUCUCCUGCUAACUGCUGAGCUUGCUAAGGAAAGGAACCUUGUUUUAUGAAAUAAAUGAUAUUUAUGAGCUCCUGU
rnacentral:lncRNA from 1 species